GUGGCAGCAAUGGUCAGUAGUGGCUGUAGCCUUGACCGUACCUCUUUAUUUUCUACAAAUAUACACACACAAAAAUUCUGAGACAGAAGCUGCCAAUGGACCAAAAGAAAAAUUGAUCGUGUGCUGAGGCCCUCCUCCUGUGACAUAACUUCAGCAUGCAGAAGGUGGAGAUGCUGUGUGUGGCUCUCACUGGGGAAGAGGCAAGUGUUCUGCAGGAUGCUACAUAAAAAAGGACUAAGUAGGCCCUGGGUGCACUUUACGAGUGACUUAGGAGAGGUUCUGGGGUGAUUUUGUGCAUUCUGUAUCUCUUGCCCCUGCUCUGGGCUCCAGCUGAGGCGCCCAGCAGUUCUAUAUUCUAUGCAUGGAAAUACAGAUAAUUAAUGUCCACUGGGGCAAGGCCAUGGGGGACAGGAGCAGUGGUUACAGGCCUCCCUCUCUCCUCCCUGUAGAGGAACAUUCUGAAGACGCUCCUUGAAGACUCCUCAGGAGGUCUCCAGUCGCCCACAUGGGUGACCCUAUCAAGAAUUUCUCCCGGCAUCAGCCUUCUGUCCUUCUCUGUGUCACUCCUCCCAGUACCCCAGUCCUGCUCCUAGAAUCACUUCCCAAACAAAUCCUCUGCCUGGGAGCCUUGCCUAGGGCUCUCCCUUCAGGGGAACUCAGGCCACAGCAGCCUACAUUAGACAGCAUGAAGGCUCUGGGCUUUUGUGCUAAGAGUAAUAGGAAGCCAUUGAAGACAUGGAAGCAUGGGCUUGAAGAAAUCUAUGUUCUUACGGGGCAAAUUGGCCCAGUGUGGAGGAUGGGCAGGGAUAGUGGCAAGGGCUGUAUAACAGGGAAGACCAUUCUGGAAGCUUUUGCAGGAGUCUGGGUGAAAUGAGAGGGCUGACUGGAUGAGGGUGUUUGCAGACUGGAUGAGGGUGUUUGCAGACUGGAUGAGGGUGUUUGCUGUCUGGCUAUCUCUCUCUGUUCCUCUAUUUCUCAUGGACUUUCUCUCAACCUACACACAGGCCCCUCUGAUUUUAGUCAGCCUUGUGUGACCCAUGUCAUUCGUGGGCCCUGGCUGCUAGAUGGGGACCAUGCCUGCACUUGGGCCAAGCCAGAUGUCUACAAGCUUUCCCUGAGUGCCUCACAGGCCACUGGGCACUGGGGUCGCCCAGAAAUGACCGACCAGAAGAACAAGCAGAAGGGGCCAUGGAGGCCUAGCUCCCUGAGUCCCUGGAAGAAGGAUCAUGAGGAAGUGAAGUCAGGCACCGAGAGCCCAGGGGAGCCCAUCCAUCAGCACCACAAAGGCACAGGCAUAGAUCAGUGUUGCUUGAACCCAGAUCUCCAGAACACAAGAGGAGAGAGCCAGGUGGACCUGAGAUAUCAUCUUGUCCAGCCCCUCUUUCCCAGCUGAUGAGGAAACUGAGGCUCAGAGAGGCGGGGUCUCUUGACUGCAGGCUGGUUCAUCUCCUCAAUGCACCACAAAGUUCCUUGAUUGGUUCCUGGCAUCUGGUUUUGCUUUUCUCUUCCUUGUUUUUUUUUGGGGGGGGGACGCGGGGGAUGGAGUCUCGCUCUGUCUCCCAGACUGGAGUGCAUUGGCGCCAUCUCGGCUCACUGCAACCUCCUCCUCUUGAGUUCAAGCAAUCCGCCUGCCUCAGCCUCCUUAGUAGCUAAGAUUACAGGCACCCACCACCAUGCCCAGCUAAUUUUUGUAUUUUUAGUAGAGAAGGGGUUUCACUGUGUUGUCCUGGCUGGUCUCCAACUACUGACCUCAGGUGAUCCACCCGCCUCGGCCUCCCAAAGUGCCAGGAUUACAGGCCUGAGCCACCGUGCCCAGCCUCCUUUUAUUUUUCUUCACAAAUCAAUGACUUUUCCAAUACAGAAUUUGGAGUUUCAUUGGAAUGUCAUCGUUCCCUCAGUGUAUCCUGGCCCCAAGCAGGGCUGACAUUUGUCAAGUCCUCCUGCUGUCUGCUGACAUCAUCACCAUCACCUUUACCACUGUUCAGACAAAAACUUCAGACAGGAACUUGCUCCCAAAGCGAGAAAGGAGCCAGGAGACCAAGGAAUGACUCGAAUAAGUCCAGCUUGGUGAGUAGGUGAGUUUAUUAGGACUUACACACAGGGCACUCAGCAGGAUGGCUCUAGAGAUCCGG
rnacentral:lncRNA from 10 species